rnacentral:rRNA from 1 species
AAAGGAAUAGACGGGGGCCCGCACAAGCGGAGGAACAUGUGGUUUAAUUCGAUGAUACGCGAGGAACCUUACCCGGGCUCGAACGGCUGUUGAAUAUGGUGGAAACAUCAUAGUCUGCAAAGACAACAGUCGAGGUGCUGCAUGGUUGUCGUCAGCUCGUGCCGUGAGGUGUCGGCUUAAGUGCCAUAACGAGCGCAACCCUUGUUGAUAGUUGCCAGCGGGUAAAGCCGGGGACUCUAUUGAGACUGCCACCGUAAGGUGUGAGGAAGGGGGGGAUGACGUCAAAUCAGCACGGCCCUUACGUCCGGGGCGACACACGUGUUACAAUGGUAGGUACAGAGGGCAGCUAUUAUGUGAAUAAAUGCGAAUCUCAAAAGCCUAUCACAGUUCGGAUUGGAGUCUGCAACUCGACUCCAUGAAGCUGGAUUCGCUAGUAAUCGCGCAUCAGCCAUGGCGCGGUGAAUACGUUCCCGGGCCUUGUACACACCGCCCGU